GGUGUUAGCUCAAUUGGAAGAGCACUUGCCCACCACGCGAGCGGUUGCGGGUUCGAGUCCCAUGCACACCU
rnacentral:tRNA from 2 species